rnacentral:rRNA from 1 species
AGGACAAACGUUGGCGGUGCGUCUUAGACAUGCAAGUCGAGCGUGAAAGCCCGCAAGGGUGAGUAAAGCGGCGAACGGGUGAGUAAUACUUGGGUAACGUACCUUUUAGAUUGGGAUAACGCGCCGAAAGGCGUGCUAAUACCAGAUAUGACCACGAUCCCUUCGGGGGUUGAGGUAAAAGAUGGCGCAAGCUAUCACUAGGAGAUCGGCUCAAGCACCAUUAGCUAGUUGGCGGGGUAAUGGCCCACCAAGGCUACGAUGGUUAGCCGGCCUGAGAGGGUGAUCGGCCACACUGGGACUGAGAUACGGCCCAGACUCCUACGGGAGGCAGCAGUUUGGAAUAUUCCACAAUGGGCGC